CACAGGCAUUUAACUUGUUGUUGCUCACUUCACCACCAAUAUAAUUAAUAGACUCUAAGCGUUAAAUCAGCACAAGUUUUUGAGACUGGCGAAGUAAUUUUGAUAAAACUUUCAUGAAUUCAGUACUAAUAGAAUCAUAUUAAAUGAAGUUACCAUAAAAUGGCAAUGUCUCCAGGGAGAAAAAUAGGCUACAUACAAAUAAAGAAAUUUUAAGCCUAGGGCAUGUCUUUCAUCAUUCUGAAUGAAAGAAAUUAACAGAGAUUGCCUUCUAUCUUUUGAGAAGAAAUUUUUGUUACCCCCAAAAUCUCUAGCAAGCUAAGUUGUUAGUAAAACCCAUGUACACAUUGCUAAGUAUGCAGGGUCUGAGAGAGUAUGCAUCUUCCUGAAGAUAUAUUAACUCAACAGUGACCUGGCUGCCUGUGAUGAACCUUGGCUAGAAGAGAUAAAUGUUGUGUAGCUCACCAUAAGGACUUUUUCUUACACUUAUCCAUAAGCAGCAGGAAUAAUGAAGGACUAAAACUCCAAAGCUGUAGAAUAUGGAUGCACCCAUAGUUGACAUACUCCAAAGUACACAUAAACUGUCCAGAACCCUAAUAAAAGAGCUUCAUGGGAAGAAGAAGAGAAGAAAAGCAGCAGAGAAAGCACUUGGCAAGAGGGCUCAGUCACAGCAGAUUUUAGAAGCACUACCAAAUGUACCCUUCGAAAGAUGAGAGGAACAACCAAAGAGAAAGGAUUGACUGUAAGGAGAAAAGUGACCUUUUGGUGAAUGAUAGACAAAUUGCAUAAAGAGAAACUCAUGUUGCUACUCCUAGAAAGAGGAAGAUCACCGUUUUGAGCAAAUUACCUAGAACUUCCCUUCUUCAACCUAACAGUCUCAUUUUUUUCCAGUAACAUAACAACAUUGUCUCAAUUGCAUUAUGACUACUUCUGCAGCCCAUUUAAACUUUUGUGGUUUUCUGUUCUCACUUGUCUGGGGAAAAGAUGGACUAUUUCUGCUAGGGUGAAUGAAGCACAGACUUCAUGUCAUUUCCUUCCAUAUCUAUAUCAUUAUGGGUGGCGGCAAGAGGAGAGCAAUUCAGCCUUUCUCCACUGAAACCCCUCUAUCACAUUGUGUGCAAAGCUCCAGGCAGACAGGCUGGAUACUUGCAUGUUCUCCAAAGACUGCAGUCAUAAAACUGCUCCUGCAAGAUCAGGCCCUUGCUAAUUACAAUACAAACAUUAACUUUUUCAUUCAUGGUAAAUUUUCAUUCAUUUCUUAAGGCUAAUACUAAUUGCAACUUAAAAAUAUAAUGCUAAAUAGGGCAAGCAAUCUGGGAACCCAAAUGGUAUAUUCCCCUCCUGAUACACAUUCUCUCAUUAGACACAUGAACAGAGGAGGGAAAAAAAAAAUCUCUCCAAAGAGCUGGCACUGCAAAUUAU